CUCAGAUUGAACGCUGGCGGCAGGCCUAACACAUGCAAGUCGAGCGGUAGCACAGAGAGCUUGCUCUCGGGUGACGAGCGGCGGACGGGUGAGUAAUGUCUGGGAAACUGCCUGAUGGAGGGGGAUAACUACUGGAAACGGUAGCUAAUACCGCAUAANGUCGCAAGACCAAAGUGGGGGACCUUCGGGCCUCAUGCCAUCAGAUGUGCCCAGAUGGGAUUAGCUAGUAGGUGGGGUAACGGCUCACCUAGGCGACGAUCCCUAGCUGGUCUGAGAGGAUGACCAGCCACACUGGAACUGAGACACGGUCCAGACUCCUACGGGAGGCAGCAGUGGGGAAUAUUGCACAAUGGGCGCAAGCCUGAUGCAGCCAUGCCGCGUGUGUGAAGAAGGCCUUCGGGUUGUAAAGCACUUUCAGCGGGGAGGAAGGCGUUAAGGUUAAUAACCUNGNCGAUUGACGUUACCCGCAGAAGAAGCACCGGCUAACUCCGUGCCAGCAGCCGCGGUAAUACGGAGGGUGCAAGCGUUAAUCGGAAUUACUGGGCGUAAAGCGCACGCAGGCGGUCUGUCAAGUCGGAUGUGAAAUCCCCGGGCUCAACCUGGGAACUGCAUUCGAAACUGGCAGGCUAGAGUCUUGUAGAGGGGGGUAGAAUUCCAGGUGUAGCGGUGAAAUGCGUAGAGAUCUGGAGGAAUACCGGUGGCGAAGGCGGCCCCCUGGACAAAGACUGACGCUCAGGUGCGAAAGCGUGGGGAGCAAACAGGAUUAGAUACCCUGGUAGUCCACGCCGUAAACGAUGUCGAUUUGGAGGUUGUGCCCUUGAGGCGUGGCUUCCGGAGCUAACGCGUUAAAUCGACCGCCUGGGGAGUACGGCCGCAAGGUUAAAACUCAAAUGAAUUGACGGGGGCCCGCACAAGCGGUGGAGCAUGUGGUUUAAUUCGAUGCAACGCGAAGAACCUUACCUGGUCUUGACAUCCACAGAACUUUCCAGAGAUGGAUUGGUGCCUUCGGGAACUGUGAGACAGGUGCUGCAUGGCUGUCGUCAGCUCGUGUUGUGAAAUGUUGGGUUAAGUCCCGCAACGAGCGCAACCCUUAUCCUUUGUUGCCAGCGGUUNGGCCGGGAACUCAAAGGAGACUGCCAGUGAUAAACUGGAGGAAGGUGGGGAUGACGUCAAGUCAUCAUGGCCCUUACGACCAGGGCUACACACGUGCUACAAUGGCAUAUACAAAGAGAAGCGACCUCGCGAGAGCAAGCGGACCUCAUAAAGUAUGUCGUAGUCCGGAUUGGAGUCUGCAACUCGACUCCAUGAAGUCGGAAUCGCUAGUAAUCGUAGAUCAGAAUGCUACGGUGAAUACGUUCCCGGGCCUUGUACACACCGCCCGUCACACCAUGGGAGUGGGUUGCAAAAGAAGUAGGUAGCUUAACCUUCGGGAGGGCG
rnacentral:rRNA from 1 species